AAUUUCCUUUACCUCCUUUCCCUACCUCAGUUUUUUUAUUUCAUUUCCCGCUUUUCCCCUUUUCCAAAUUGUUAAAUCCUAAAUGAGGCCUCCCUUUUCCUAUUGAGCUAGGGGUAGUCUAAGCCUCAACAGAAAGAACACAAAUACAAUCAAUAAUCAUACACGAUUCAACUUCAUUUUUUCAAUUGUUCAUCAUCUCUUCCCCUACAUCCAGAUUCUCCCCAUUGUUCUAGUUCGACUGAACCAAGUUGUCACUCUAAUCUGCGUCUGUGAAUCCAUCCGCCUAAAAUCAAAUUGUCGUUCGACUGUUCAAUCAAUUUCCCGUCUAUCGACCGCCAUCUGUUCGAUUAUUCUAGUUUCAUUGAUACCAAACAAGCGUAUAUGGGUCUGUUACUAUGCUUACAAUUUUGACUUUAUGUAGAGAUCUCGUGAUUUAAGUUACUAGCUUCUUAUUCCAACUCUCGUUUACGCCUCUGAUAACAAGUGGGAAGGCAAAACAGGAAAUCUGCAGAGGCUUUUGCUAAAAAUGAUGGCAAAGGUAAAAUCAGAAGUUUGAUAAACAAGAGGAGCAAUUAUAAGAAGUUCAAGGUCAAUGAAGUUUCAUGUUUCUUCCCCAACACAUAUCAAGUUUGAUAGUAUUAUGGUUUAAGUACUAGCACAACAUUUAGACUUAUUAAACUUUUGAGAAGAUGCUUGUAUUUUAACUAUAUUGAGAAUGUUGUUCUUAAACAAGUUUAAAAUGAUGUAAUGAUAUUGUGUUUUCAUUUA